AGCGAACGCUGGCGGCAGGCUUAACACAUGCAAGUCGAACGGGCGUAGCAAUACGUCAGUGGCAGACGGGUGAGUAACGCGUGGGAACGUACCUUUUGGUUCGGAACAACCCAGGGAAACUUGGGCUAAUACCGGAUAAGCCCUUACGGGGAAAGAUUUAUCGCCGAAAGAUCGGCCCGCGUCUGAUUAGCUAGUUGGUGAGGUAACGGCUCACCAAGGCGACGAUCAGUAGCUGGUCUGAGAGGAUGAUCAGCCACAUUGGGACUGAGACACGGCCCAAACUCCUACGGGAGGCAGCAGUGGGGAAUAUUGGACAAUGGGCGCAAGCCUGAUCCAGCCAUGCCGCGUGAGUGAUGAAGGCCCUAGGGUUGUAAAGCUCUUUUGUGCGGGAAGAUAAUGACGGUACCGCAAGAAUAAGCCCCGGCUAACUUCGUGCCAGCAGCCGCCGU
rnacentral:rRNA from 1 species